ACCGAAAUAGCUCAGUUAGGAGAGCGUUAGAAUAUAAAUCGAAAAGUCCCUGGUUCGAUCCCGCGAUCCAGCA
rnacentral:tRNA from 1 species